UACGGGGGGAGCAAGCGUUGUUCGGAUUUACUGGGCGUAAAGGGCGCGUAGGCGGCGCAACAAGUCACUUGUGAAAUCUCCGGGCUUAACCCGGAGCGGCCAAGUGAUACUGUCGUGCUAGAGUGCGGAAGGGGCUACUGGAAUUCUCGGUGUAGCGGUGAAAUGCGUAGAUAUCGAGAGGAACACCGGUGGCGAAGGCGGGUCUCUGGGCAACAACUGACGCUGAGGAGCGGAAAGCGUGGGGGAGCGAACAGG
rnacentral:rRNA from 1 species